rnacentral:rRNA from 1 species
GCUGAAACCCGCCUGCAUGAAGACGGAAUUGCUAGUAAUCGCGGAUCAGCAUGCCGCGGUGAAUACGUUCCCGGGCUUGUACACACCGCCCGUCACACCAUGAGAGUCGGUAACACCCGAAGCCUGUGAGCUAACCGUAAGGAGGCAGCAGUCGAAGGUGGGAUCGACAAUUGGGGUGAAGUCGUAACAAGGUAAC